UACGGGGGGGGCAAGCGUUGUUCGGAAUUACUGGGCGUAAAGGGUUUGUAGGUGGCCGAUUAAGUCAGACGUGAAAUCCCUCAGCUUAACCGGGAAACUGCGUCGGAUACUGGAUGGCUUGAAUUCGGGAGAGGGAUGCAGAAUUCCAGGUGUAGCGGUGAAAUGCGUAGAUAUCUGGAGGAAUACCGGUGGCGAAGGCGGCAUCCUGGACCGAGAUUGACACUGAUGAGCGAAAGCUAGGGGAGCAAACGGG
rnacentral:rRNA from 1 species